UACGUAGGGUGCAAGCGUUAAUCGGAAUUACUGGGCGUAAAGCGUGCGCAGGCGGUGAUGUAAGACAGGUGUGAAAUCCCCGGGCUUAACCUGGGAACUGCAUUUGUGACUGCAUCGCUGGAGUGCGGCAGAGGGGGAUGGAAUUCCGCGUGUAGCAGUGAAAUGCGUAGAGAUGCGGAGGAACACCGAUGGCGAAGGCAGCCUCCUGGGAUAACACUGACGCUCAUGCACGAAAGCGUGGGGAGCAAACAGG
rnacentral:rRNA from 1 species